GUUCGGUCGAUUUUUUCGAUUUGAUCGGUAUUAUGCCCACCCCUAUCUUCAGCCAUAUGGAUGAAUUGAAGUUCGUAGCGAUAAAUCAACAACAAACGACUUCAAAAAAGUGGAGAACAUAGCUGCAAUUUUCAGCCGCAAAUCAUUGGCAGCAGUUCUUCGUCUUGUUGAGAGAAUCGACUCCAGAAAAAUUUCAACCUAAAAUCCAUUUGAAUCAGCUCUACAGGUGUUCCUCUUCAAUUUACCAGGUGCUUGGAUCGUUUCGAACUAGUCCACAAAAAUUUGCACUUGGUGUUCUUCGGGUUAAUCCAAUGAUUCAAGCUUUAGUAGUAAUGAAUUCUCGUUCAAUGAAUCAGGCUACAGAAACAAUCCGAAGCUAUCAUCAGCAGCUGAAGCUUAUAAAUGUUUGACAAGUGUUCGUCGUAUUUCAACUUCAAGCUGCCAACCCAAAGUCAACCCAAACCUCUUCAACUUGAACUCAAAAUGUAACCACAAGCUUGUUUCAACAAUCCGAACAA
rnacentral:lncRNA from 1 species